AUACUUACCUUGCAGGGGAGAUACCAUGAUCACGAAGGUGGCUUUCCCAGGACAAGGCUUAUCCAUUGCACUCUGGAUGUGCUGACCCCUGCGAUUUCCCCAAAUGUGGGAAACUUGGCUGCAUAAUUUGUGGUAGUGGGGGACUGUGUUCUCGCUCUCCCCUU
rnacentral:snRNA from 1 species